GAUGAACGCUGGCGGCGUGCUUAACACAUGCAAGUCGAACGAAGCACUUUAUUUGAUUUCCUUCGGGACUGAUUAUUUUGUGACUGAGUGGCGGACGGGUGAGUAACGCGUGGGUAACCUGCCUUGUACAGGGGGAUAACAGUUGGAAACGGCUGCUAAUACCGCAUAAGCGCACGGCAUCGCAUGAUGCAGUGUGAAAAACUCCGGUGGUAUAAGAUGGACCCGCGUUGGAUUAGCUAGUUGGUGAGGUAACGGCCCACCAAGGCGACGAUCCAUAGCCGACCUGAGAGGGUGACCGGCCACAUUGGGACUGAGACACGGCCCAAACUCCUACGGGAGGCAGCAGUGGGGAAUAUUGCACAAUGGGCGAAAGCCUGAUGCAGCGACGCCGCGUGAGCGAAGAAGUAUUUCGGUAUGUAAAGCUCUAUCAGCAGGGAAGAUAAUGACGGUAACUGACUAAGAAGCACCGGCUAAAUACGUG
rnacentral:rRNA from 1 species